GUAUAUAAUUAUUAUGAAAACAAAAAAUUAUGGCGGUACUUUAAGCUUUUCAGAGGAAUUUGCUCUUUAAUGGAUAAAACACCUAAAUCUUACUAAAAUUAGUUAAGACAGUUUGUAUACCACUAUAAAGUAAUACUUAAAAAAUAUUACUUUAAUUAUUUUAAAAUAAUUAAAUUAAGUCAUGGUGCAGCAAAAAUUUUAGAAUGAAGUGAAUUACAUUUUUUUUUAAAAAAAAAAAUGAAAAAAAUAAAUUAGGAUUUGAAAGUAAAAAUUUAAUAAAAUGAAACUUUGAAUUAAGUUCUAAAGUAUGUAC
rnacentral:rRNA from 1 species